rnacentral:rRNA from 1 species
AUUAAUUCGAUGCAACGCGAAGAACCUUACCAAGGCUUGACAUAUACCGGAAACACUCAGAGAUGGGUGCCCCUUUUUGGUCGGUAUACAGGUGGUGCAUGGUUGUCGUCAGCUCGUGUCGUGAGAUGUUGGGUUAAGUCCCGCAACGAGCGCAACCCUCGUUCUAUGUUGCCAGCACGUAAUGGUGGGGACUCAUGGAAGACUGCCGGGGUCAACUCGGAGGAAGGUGGGGAUGACGUCAAAUCAUCAUGCCCCUUAUGUCUUGGGCUUCACGCAUGCUACAAUGGCCGGUACAAUGGGCUGCUAAGCCGUAAGGUGGAGCGAAUCCCAAAAAACCGGUCUCAGUUCGGAUUGGGGUCUGCAACUCGACCCCAUGAAGUCGGAGUCGCUAGUAAUCGCAGAUCAGCAACGCUG